rnacentral:rRNA from 1 species
UACAGAGGUCUCAAGCGUUGUUCGGAUUCAUUGGGCGUAAAGGGUGCGUAGGUGGCGCCAUAAGUCAGGGUGUGAAAUCUCGGAGCUUAACUCCGAAAACUGGCAUUCGAUACUGACCGUGCUUGAGGACUGGAGAGGAGACUGGAAUUUGACGGUGUAGCGGUGAAAUGCGCAGAUAUCAGGAGGAACACCUAUUGCGAAGGCAGCUCGCUGGGGACGUAAACUGACGCCUGAGACGCGAAAGCGUGGGGAGCAAACAGG